rnacentral:rRNA from 1 species
GUGCCAGCAGCCGCGGUAAGACGGAGGAUGCAAGCGUUAUCCGGAAUUAUUGGGCGUAAAGCGUCCGCAGGUGGCAUUUCAAGUCUGCUGUCAAAGACCGGGGCUUAACCCCAGAAAGGCAGUGGAAACUGAAAAGCUAGAGAUAGGUAGGGGCAGAGGGAAUUCCCAGUGUAGCGGUGAAAUGCGUAGAGAUUGGGAAGAACACCGGUGGCGAAAGCGCUCUGCUGGGCCUUAUCUGACACUCAGGGACGAAAGCUAGGGGAGCGAAUGGGAUUAGAUACCCCAGUAGUCC